UUUUCAUUCCCUAAACAACAUGUACUCUAUCAGACCCUAAACCCACUUCCUCUCUCCCUAACUCACGCUAAUUAUUUCGCAAUUUCAUCUCCUCCCAAUUUCACUCCCAAUUUCGCUCUCUCUCAUCCAAAUUUGUAACAUAAACACUGCAAUGAGGGUUCUUAGCUAUGGGUGGAAUUUAGCUUUGUAAAAUUAAAUACCCAAUAGAUUCAUAAAGUAGCAGAAUCGUGGGGUCUCAAAAUCAGUUAGAAAUCAAUAGUUGAGAUUUUGCAAAGUGUAUUCGCAGAGACAAAAAGGUUGGGAUCUCUUUCUACCAUCAGCUUUCUCCGGAAAAGAUCGAUUCCUUGAGCGUGUUCACAUAAUUAGUUUCUCAGUUAGCUUCAAUCGCGAGAAAUUAUUUUUCCAAAAGGCACACUGUGAGAAAUCGCUAGCUGAAGAAGUUGAAUUAAAUGGAUUAUGGAGAUAAAAGUUGGAUGAAUCUCCUAAGAUGGACGGAUGAGUAUAUUCGUGGAGUAAAUACUUUUCUUGAUAAGGCAUUUGAACGAGCUUCCCAGG